AGCAGCCGCGGUAAUUCCAGCUCCAAUAGCGUAUAUUUAAGUUGUUGCAGUUAAAAGCUCGUAGUUGGAUUUUGGAUUCUUCCAAUUGGUCCAUCUUUUAGAUGAGUACUGGUUGUGUGGGGUCUAUCCGCCUGGUGAUACGUAAUGUCCUUUAUUGGAUGUUUCGGGUAGUCAGGACCUUUACCUUGAAAAAAUUAGAGUGUUUAAAGCAGGCUUAUGCCGGAAUACAUUUGCAUGGAAUAAUAGAAUAGGACGAAGUUGUCUUAUUUUGUUGGUUUCUAGGACAACCGUAAUGAUUAAUAGGGAUAGUUGGGGGCAUUAGUAUUCAAUUGUCAGAGGUGAAAUUCUUGGAUUUAUUGAAGACUAACUACUGCGAAAGCAUUUGCCAAGGAUGUUUUCAUUAAUCAAGAACGAAAGUUAGGGGAUCGAAGACGAUCAGAUACCGUCGUAGUCUUAACCAUAAACUAUGCCGACUAGGGAUCGGGCGAUGUUGUUUCCAUGACUCGCUCGGCACCUUAUG
rnacentral:rRNA from 1 species